UACGAAGGGGGCAAGCGUUGUUCGGAAUUACUGGGCGUAAAGGGCGCGUAGGCGGCUUAUCAAGUCAGGCGUGAAAUUCCCGGGCUCAACCUGGGGGCUGCGCUUGAUACUGAUCGACUUGAAGGUAGGAGAGGGAAGCGGAAUUCCCGGUGUAGUGGUGAAAUGCGUAGAUAUCGGGAGGAACACCAGUGGCGAAGGCGGCUUCCUGGCCUGUUCUUGACGCUGAGGCGCGAAAGCUAGGGGAGCAAACGGG
rnacentral:rRNA from 1 species